rnacentral:rRNA from 1 species
GAUGAACGCUGGCGGCGUGCCUAAUACAUGCAAGUCGAGCGAACAGACGAGGAGCUUGCUCCUCUGACGUUAGCGGCGGACGGGUGAGUAACACGUGGAUAACCUACCUAUAAGACUGGGAUAACUUCGGGAAACCGGAGCUAAUACCGGAUAAUAUAUUGAACCGCAUGGUUCAAUAGUGAAAGACGGUUUUGCUGUCACUUAUAGAUGGAUCCGCGCCGCAUUAGCUAGUUGGUAAGGUAACGGCUUACCAAGGCAACGAUGCGUAGCCGACCUGAGAGGGUGAUCGGCCACACUGGAACUGAGACACGGUCCAGACUCCUACGGGAGGCAGCAGUAGGGAAUCUUCCGCAAUGGGCGAAAGCCUGACGGAGCAACGCCGCGUGAGUGAUGAAGGUCUUCGGAUCGUAAAACUCUGUUAUUAGGGAAGAACAAAUGUGUAAGAAACUAUGCACGUCAUGACGGUACCUAAUCAGAAAGCCACGGCUAACUACGUG